GAUGAACGCUGGCGGCGUGCCUAACACAUGCAAGUCGAGCGAUUUACUUCGGUAAAGAGCGGCGGACGGGUGAGUAACGCGUGGGUAACCUGCCCUGUACACACGGAUAACAUACCGAAAGGUAUGCUAAUACGAGAUAAUAUACUUUUAUCGCAUGGUAGAAGUAUCGAGGCUCCGGCGGUACAGGAUGGACCCGCGUCUGAUUAGCUAGUUGGUAAGGUAACGGCUUACCAAGGCGACGAUCAGUAGCCGACCUGAGAGGGUGAUCGGCCACAUUGGAACUGAGACACGGUCCAAACUCCUGCGGGAGGCAGCAGUGGGGAAUAUUGCACAAUGGGCGAAAGCCUGAUGCAGCAACGCCGCGUGAGCGAUGAAGGCCUUCGGGUCGUAAAGCUCUGUCCUCAAGGAAGAUAAUGACGGUACUUGAGGAGGAAGCCCCGGCUAACUCCGUGCCAGCCGCCGCGGUAAUAC
rnacentral:rRNA from 1 species